rnacentral:rRNA from 1 species
UAAGGAAUAUUGGUCAAUGGACGCGAGUCUGAACCAGCCAUGCCGCGUGAAGGAUGACGGCCCUCUGGGUUGUAAGCUUCUUUUAUCUGGGACGAAAAACGGACUUUUUAGUUCACUUGACGGUACCAGAGGAAUAAGCACCGGCUAACUCCGUGCCAGCAGCCGCGGUAAUACGGAGGGUGCAAGCGUUAUCCGGAUUCAUUGGGUUUAAAGGGUGCGCAGGCGGAAUGAUAAGUCAGUGGUGAAAUCCUACAGCUUAACUGUAGAACUGCCAUUGAUACUAUCGUUCUUGAGUACAUUUGAAGUGGGCGGAAUGUGUCAUGUAGCGGUGAAAUGCUUAGAUAUGACACAGAACACCGAUCGCGAAGGCAGCUCGCUAAGCUAUAACUGACGCUCAUGCACGAAAGCGUGGGGAGCAAACAGG